GAUGAACGCUGGCGGCGUGCCUAAUACAUGCAAGUCGAGCGAACAGAUGAGGAGCUUGCUCCUCUGACGUUAGCGGCGGACGGGUGAGUAACACGUGGAUAACCUACCUAUAAGACUGGGAUAACUUCGGGAAACCGGAGCUAAUACCGGAUAAUAUAUUGAACCGCAUGGUUCAAUAGUGAAAGACGGUUUUGCUGUCACUUAUAGAUGGAUCCGCGCCGCAUUAGCUAGUUGGUAAGGUAACGGCUUACCAAGGCAACGAUGCGUAGCCGACCUGAGAGGGUGGACGGCCACACUGGAACGGAGACACGGUCCAUACUCCUGCGGGAGGCAGCAGUAGGGAAUCUUCCGCAAUGGGCGAAAGCCUGACGGAGCAACGCCGCGUGAGUGAUGAAGGUCUUCGGAUCGUAAAACUCUGUUAUUAGGGAAGAACAAAUGUGUAAGUAACUAUGCACGUCUUGACGGUACCUAAUCAGAAAGCCACGGCUAACUACGUG
rnacentral:rRNA from 1 species